AAACUAACAAGGAUUCCCCUAGUAGCGGCGAGCGAAGCGGGAAGAGCUCAAAUUUAUAAUCUGGCACCUUCGGUGUCCGAGUUGUAAUCUCUAGAAAUGUUUUCCGCGUUGGACCGCACACAAGUCUGUUGGAAUACAGCGGCAUAGUGGUGAGACCCCCGUAUAUGGUGCGGACGCCCAGCGCUUUGUGAUACAUUUUCGAAGAGUCGAGUUGUUUGGGAAUGCAGCUCAAAUUGGGUGGUAAAUUCCAUCUAAAGCUAAAUAUUGGCGAGAGACCGAUAGCGAACAAGUACCGUGAGGGAAAGAUGAAAAGCACUUUGGAAAGAGAGUUAACAGUACGUGAAAUUGUUGGAAGGGAAACGCUUGAAGUCAGACUUGCUUGCCGAGCAAUCGGUUUGCAGGCCAGCAUCAGUUUUUCGGGGUGGAUAAUGGUAGAGAGAAGGUAGCAGUUUCGGCUGUGUUAUAGCUCUCUACUGGAUACACCCUGGGGGACUGAGGAACGCAGUGUGCCUUUGGCGGGGGUUUCGACCUCUUCACACUUAGGAUGCUGGUGGAAUGGCUUUAAACGAC
rnacentral:rRNA from 1 species